rnacentral:rRNA from 1 species
AGAGACAGCAGUAGCCACGGGAACACCAGCACCUCGAGUGGUCAGGAGGUUUAUUGGGCCUAAAGCAUCCGUAGCCGGUUGCAUAAGUUUUCGGUUAAAUCUAUGCGCUUAACGUAUAGGCCGCCGAAAAUACUGUGCAGCUAGGGAGUGGGAGAGGUACACGGUACUCGAUAGGAAGGGGUAAAAUCCUUUGAUCUAUUGAUGACCACCUGUGGCGAAGGCGGUGUACCAGAACACGUUCGACGGUGAGGGAUGAAAGCUGGGGGAGCAAACCGGAUUAGAUACCCCGGUAGUCCCUGUCUCUUAUAC